GACGAACGCUGGCGGCGUGCUUAACACAUGCAAGUCGAGCGGAAAGGCCCUUCGGGUUACUCAAGCGGAGAAGGGGUGAGUAACACGUGAGUAACCUGCCCCAGACUUUGGGAUAACACGCGGAAACGGGGGCUCAUACCCGAAACGACACAGCUGCGCAUGGGGUCUGUGUGGAAAGUUUUUUGGUGUGUGAGGGGCUCGCGGCCGAGCAGCCUGGUGGUGGGGUGAUGGCCCACCAAGGCGACGGCGGGUAGCCGGCCUGAGAGGGCGGACGGCCACAUUGGGACUGAGACACGGCCCAGACUCCUUCGGGAGGCAGCGGUGGGGAAUAUUGCACAAUGGGCGGAAGCCUGAUGCAGCGACCCCGCGUGCGGGAUGACGGCCUUCGGGUUGUAAACCUCUUUCAGCAGGGAAGAAGCGUAAGUGACGGUACCUGAAGAAGAAGCGCCGGCCAACUACGUG
rnacentral:rRNA from 1 species